rnacentral:lncRNA from 1 species
AUCCAUGGCAAUUGCACUAACAAGCUGAGAUACACCCAGGUGUCUGGAUUAUGUUUGCAGCAGAUUCAGCCUUGUGCAGCAGGCCCAGGAUGUGCUAACUGUUGUGAGUCAAGCCAGAUAUGUAAAAGUUGAUGACU